UAUAUAUAUAUAUAUAUAUAUAUGCAGUCCUUGGGUUACCUCGGACUUGAUGUAUGUCAUUCCGUCGUUAUGUCGCCAUCUCCCAUUUAUUAAAAAAAAAAAAAGUUCUGUCAUUUCGACGUAUGUACAUAUAUGCUUUAUGUUUUUUAUUAUUUAUUUACCACAAGUAAAGGUCAGGAAUUGUUACCUUAUACAUUUUUUUUACUGUUUCACUUCAUUACUGCUGUGUAUGUGCUCCAUGUGUGACGUAGGUGCUUAUGUAGGUGGGUUCCGACUUACGGUGAAAAUUGCGUUUUGUCGCACCGUAGGAAUGGAUCUCCAAUGUAACCCGAGGACCUACUGUGUGUGUGUGUGUGUGUGUGUGUGUGUGUGUGUGUGUGUGUGUAUGCCUAAGCGACCAUUCGACCGGUAGCUAUGGUGUGCACUGACCACCAGGGGCAGACGCUCAACGCACAGGCAUGGAAACAUGGAACAGACUGAUGAGUGGAGCGGGAGGGUGUAAAGAGAUUAACGAAAGAUCUAUAUGCAUACUAGAGGAUUCAUGCACCGGUGGGGUUCCUUGGCCUGGCCUCUGGGAAUUGGGCCCAAAACCGGCAGUCUGACAUCCCCCGAGGGGCCCUGGAUUGUGAGAGGGUGCAGGCCAGGCCAAGGGACCCCACCGUGCACCGGGCCUCUAGUUUUUAGAUAAAAGAAAACUAAAUGUGUGCAGAUUUCACAAUAGGAAGGCUAAAGAAAGUUCUUUUUUAAAUAUGUUUUUAUUGAUUUCAGAGAGAGGAAGGGAGAGAAUCGAACCGUGACCUCCUGGUUCAUAGAUCAACACUCAACCACUGAGCCACACGGGCUGGGCUAGCUUUGCUUUUUGAAUGGUUUCUGUCCUAGCAUUCUGCAGCACUGGUCUUUGGCUUCUGCCCCUUCUUUCCCUUGGCUGGCACCUCUCCUUCUUUCCCACUGGCUCAGGGACUUAUUGUGAAAGACAUAUUUGACCCUGUGUGCUUUGCCCACAGCCAUGGUUUUACCAUGUGACCUCGUCCCUGGCCCUUAUACUCGAGGCGAUGAGUAGUAACCUGGAGCAAGCCAUUUCUCUCUGGAGAAGCUAAAGUAAGAGUCAGGACAGAAGACAUUCCCAGGCUCUGUCAGGACCCGGCUGCCACUGCUCUGGAGACCAGACACCAUUAGACUUGGAACCCUGGACUCACCGGCAUGCCACCACAGGAGAUCUCCAAACAGGGACUGAGUACCUGCCCCCCCCACACAGGUUUGUUCUCUACUGGGUGGCCUGUUAGAAAUUAAGUCAGCUUCCCUCUCAUGUAGAGUGAAAGCCAGCCUUUAUGAAGUCCUACUUGGUUUGGUCUCCUGUACCCCUGUGUGCUCAUCUAUCGCUCUUCCCUUGCCCCACCCUGCUCCAGCCACAUGGGCUAUUCCUCAGUCACUCCAAGCCUGCCCUCACCUAUAGGGGCGCUGGCUGUUCCCUUCACUUAGAAUACUCUUCCCCAAGUACACCCAUAGCUCCCUACCUCACCAGCUCCAAGUCUUAGCUUAGAAGUCAUUUCUCCAGAGGCCCAUCUGAUCUCCCUAUGUAAGCCCAACCAAUCUAGCCCACAUGCCCAUUUAAAAAAAUCUUUGACCAUAUCAUUAUACUUACUGUUUAUUGAUUGUCUUCUUGAUGAAUCUGCUCUAGGAGCCUAGACCCGGGACCUAGACUAGUGCCUGGCAUUAAAGUUAAUACUCCACAGCUGUUUGUUGAAUGGGUCACUGACAGUGUGGUAUGCUGUUCCUGGUAUAAAAAGUCUUGGGAAGCAUGAGUUGAAUUCUGGUUCUGUCACUUACCAGAGGUUCAACCUCUCUGAACCUCAGUUUUCUCAUCUGUAACAUGGAAACCUACCUCAAAUGAAUUCUUGGUGAAGAGUAAAUGAGAGGAGGUCCAGUUGCCAUUUUCUCAUUCUUUCCUGCCCACCUGUUCAAAUCUAUUAAAUGAUCUCCCAAGCCAAUAGGAUUGCAAUGAAUGUUUCCAUUUACUUUGGAUUAUAUGUCAUUACAAAUAUUAACAAAUAAGACUUAAAAAGGACACCUUUGGGUAGGUCAGACGAAAGUACAAAAAUUGUGUGUGGGGCUGCAGUUUAAGGACGUUUUCUGCAGCCAUCACAUGGUAGCAAAACAGUGUUAAGCAGUGCACGAGAGUCCGUGUCGAGGACAGCCAGAGUCCAUGCAUGGAGAGGUUCUCAGUUGGGAAGGAACAAAGACUGGACAUGCACGGGCCGGGAGGUGCAGUUCCUCGCUCUCACCCCUAGAGGUCAGGAGGUUACCGCUUCAGGGUUGGAAGACUGGCCCGUCCGGGAUUGGCUAGUGCUGGCGUUGGGUCGGGUGGAGGCUAGGAAGGGAGGUGGUGGAGGUGGAUGCAGCGCAUUGGGAGACCCCCCUGGUUACUGACACCUGACUUUGAAAUGACAUUUUUUUCUUUUUUGGUGUCAAUUUCCCAUCUUCGUAAAUCUGAUGGAUCAGAGGAAAGAUGCCAGUUUGGGGUCAAAGGCAGAGCUUUGCAGCUUCUCAAAGAGCUUUUUCUUUAACAGAUAAAAUCUGCAAGUGGUCUAGAACAGCCCCAGGGUUCUGGUGAAGGGUCUGUCACUCUCUGGGGGCCCUCCUGCCCAAGGGCCCCACCCUUCACUUGGGAUGGCUGUGCUUCUAGAAGCCUUGCCUCCUGUGGUCGGCUGGGACCAUAUUUGAGGGCCAAACCUACCUACCCUUGCACAGCCUGGGGCAGUAGAGGGCCCUGGACUGGGUGCUGGGAGUCCUGGUUCUUGUCCCAGCUGAGCCUAUGUAUCUGAUAAGGAAGUUGUACUAGGUGGACUCACAGCCCUUUCUAGCUUUGCCUUUCAGCAUUUCCGUGUUUUCACAGAGGCUGUGAGUCUGCUCUCUGAAUAAGGCCCUCCAAAAGACAAAGUUAAGACGAUACCCAGAGCUCACCCAGACACAAGGGUUGUGAAGAUUCAUUAAGACAGUGCACAAAGCCUUCUUAAAGAUGGGAAAACCAAGGUUCCAUGACCAGCCAAGCUUGCCAGGUACUGUGUGGGGGCUGGAGUCCCGAGUUCCCUGCAAACGGGAAAGGGCUGAUGGGCACUUGGUGGGAUUCACAUCAUCACCCCAGGCCUCAGAUGGUGGUGUGCUUUGUGUUUGCAGCAGAAGGUUCGACCCCUGUGAGCCCUGCUGCUACCGUUGGUGUGUGUGGGCAGCAGGCAGGGGAGAGCCCUAGGCUGGCAGCUAGCAGGAACUCAUGUGCAAGCCCAGCAUCCUACUUCCCCUGAAGUAUGGUGUCCAGAGCACUGGGCUGGGGGUGGGACAGGGGCCAUGGAGCCUGGUCUGCCCCAGCUGUGGUAAGGCUGCAAGGCCUUUCCCUCUCCAGGUUCUCUCUCCCAUCAAGUGCAGUGAGUGAUAGAUUGAACACAGAAAUUCCUUGGUUAUGCAUUUUUUUCAUCCAGAAUCCCUGAAGGCCCCUUGGUAAGCAGGGAAAGUCUGGGGCUUCAGACUCGGGCCCCAAUCCUUCAACGCCUCUUUGGAGACCCUAACUCGGGGUACAGACAGGCCACAGGCAGGGUGUCUUCCUCUUAGCUUUCCUGUACUGUUGCCCAGUAUUCCUGAGAGGGCAACCAUCUGGGAUCCCCCCACUACAAGUCCCAAGGCCUGGGGGGGAGGCAGAGGAAGAGAAAUGGAUGUGGACAGGAGGAAUUUUUGCUUCUUUUCAUGCAAAACAAGGGGCCCUUUUCUGUUCUGAUUACAGCUAAUCUGAUGCUGGGAAGAACGAGAGGCAAGGUCCAUCCUUCAGGUUCCUCAGGAGGAGAAAGAGAUCAAAGGUGGGCGAAUUGGGUCUGAGGAUUGAACUUGACCCUGCCCCAACAUUAGUUUCACCACAGGGCUUCUGUCACUUCCCCCACAGCUAGGAGCCCAGGCUGGCCUGGCCACCAGGGAUGGGGAGGGAGCAGGGCUGGGCACCAUCGUGCCUGGGCCCCAAUCCUGUCCUCACAUACCCUUCCCCCAGAGAAACCCGUGAGUCCCUCAUAGUGCCCCUGGCCCAACCACCAUUCUCUCCCCUCCAGGUCUUUGCAGACCAUCCCCACUGCCUGCACUGCCCUCCCUUUUGGCUGCCUGACACUCCACUACCCUUCAAGGCCUUGCUGCAGCAUGACCUUCUCUAGGAAGCCCUCCCAGCAGAGUCCAUAGCACCCAUAGGUGGGCCAGGCUGGCCACAGCAUUCCUCACUCCCCACUGUAAUGGUUCAUUUCCAGCUCCCCGAUUAGAUGGGAAACUCCCUGAGGGCAGGCCCUGGGUUUCUGCCAUCCCAGAGGCUUGUGAAAUAAUUGAGGGAAGUAUUUGCCAAGUGCCUACGUUCAUUAGGAGUUCUGGGAAAUUCACUAGACUCCUGGCUCUCAGGUUAACCUUUUCCCAUCUGCCCAGUAAUGCCAGAGAUGAACAGAUGUAGUCAGAGUCCUGUCCCCAAUCUCCUCCCCCAACGUCCUCUUCCUAGUGUCUGCCUCAGGAGUUCUCACUGGACCCACCAAGGUGCCCCUGCACUCCUGUUCUCUUAGCCCUGGUCCCCUGUGCCUUACUGCUGACCUCAAGUAGGGUGCUUCCUCCUGGACGGCCCCGGCCCCAUCCCUGGGGUAGGUGCUGAGGCCAAGCUCCUUUCUGCCUCUCUCUGGCCCUGUCAGGCCCCAGGGGUUGAAAGCAGGUGGGGCCUUCUGCCCUUGUUGUCCCUCGAGGUGGCUGGGUCCUCCAUGGCCUCCAAGAAGGGGCUGCAGUGGUUCUGUGUCCGAGCAGGUGUCCUGGAUCUCCCCCAUCGUGGGGGCCGAGGCCCUUGGUGGCAACUGAGGAAGCUCAGGUCCAGGCCUGUGUUGGGCCAAGUGACAGGCAAGGUUGGGUGCGGUGGCAGGUGGGGGCAGGUCAGUCGCUGAGCACGGCCCCAGGGAGUUCGUUGGUGAGCGUGUGCCAGCGUUCGAUCCGCUUGUCCUUGUUCUUCAGGCAGUCAAACCAGUGCUUUAGGCGCUCGCCCUUGGCAUUGAUGCCCAGAACAACACCGCCUGCAGGAGGGAAUUUCAGGGGGCAGCCAGGGGCAGGUGCUCUCACGAUCCCAUCCCUCUGGAACCAGUGCCCCCCUCCCCUUCCCAGGUUCCAUGACCCAAGGCUGGACUUUGCACCUUGCCCACGGGGCUCUAAGGGUGGACAGUAGUCUUACUGCCAUGCCACACUCUUGGCCCUCAAGAUCAGGGCCUGGGACCCUGCCCUUCCUCUACCCAGGACCAAGGGAGGGAGACAAAAAAGAGCCAAAAGGGCCAGGACAGCUCUACUGUGUGCAGCCACCAAGCCCACAGGGAUUCGGGGCUACAAGGGCUCAGAGUCCAGCCCGAGGCGUGGACCAUCACCACCUCUCACGCCUGCUCCACCACAGACUCCUGUGUGACCCUCCCGGCCUGUCUCUUCCUCUGCCACACUGAGCUGGGCUGGAUAAUGUCUGAAGCUCCUCGUGUGGGGGCAGGCGGUCUGUGAACCCAGAUUGCUCCAAGCCAUUUCCUCUUACCAAUGAAAUCAUUGGAUUUUCCAAUGUCGUAAUCCCAAACGGUGACCUCCAGGGUCUUCUUGGCCAGGUCCCCAUGCUUAAUCUCAUAACAGAACUCCUGGUGGCCAGAAGGGGAGAGUCAGGGCUAAUGCCACAUGGCCAAGAGCGCCCUGAGGUAUGGGGAGGGCAUGAACUGAGGGAGAGGUGGGCGAAUGGAAGGUGGUCAGUGCCUGGUGGUGGACAAUGGUGGAUUCUCAUCCAUCUUGUCCACUUAUGCCUGAGAGCCUGGCCGGGGUCCUCAGGGCCCCCUUCACUCCAACCCACCUGCCCCUUUGACACUGAAGCCUCUCUCUCAAGAUUCCCAGGGCCUCCUGUUGCCAGAUCAACUCACGUUUGCCAGUCUUGGUGUCCUUGACUUCUCUUGGGUCUGGCUAUGCUGACCACUGGCUUCCAUGGUGCUCUGCUCUCUGGUGCCCCCCUCGCCCUCUGGAAGCGCUGCCUUUGCCUGCCCCCCCGCAUUGCUCAGGCUCUGCCUGAGGCCCCUGUGCUCCUCGCCCGUCUCACUCCUUGCCAUGAUCAUGUCUCCCUCAGAGCUUCUCCAUCUCCCUCACACCUCCUGCUCCACUUUUUUUAAAAA